rnacentral:rRNA from 1 species
AGAGUUUGAUCAUGGCUCAGAAUCAACGCUGGCGGCGUGCCUAACACAUGCAAGUCGAACGAGAAAGUGGAGCAAUCCAUCAGUAAAGUGGCGCACGGGUGAGUAACACGUGACUAACCUACCCUUGAGUGGGGGGAUAACUGAGGGAAACCUUAGCUAAUACCGCAUAAUACCCACGGGUCAAAGGAGCAAUUCGCUCGAGGAGGGGGUCGCGGCCGAUUAGUUAGUUGGCGGGGUAAUGGCCCACCAAGACGAUGAUCGGUAUCCGGCCUGAGAGGGCGCACGGACACACUGGAACUGAAACACGGUCCAGACUCCUACGGGAGGCAGCAGUGGGGAAUUUUGCGCAAUGGGGGAAACCCUGACGCAGCAACGCCGCGUGGAGGAUGAAGUCCUUCGGGACGUAAACUCCUUUCGAUCGGGACGAUUAUGACGGUACCGGAAGAAGAAGCCCCGGCUAACUUCGUGCCAGCAGCCGCGGUAAUACGAGGGGGGCGAGCGUUGUUCGGAAUUAUUGGGCGUAAAGGGUGCGUAGGCGGUUUGGUAAGUCUUGUGUGAAAUCUAUGGGCUCAACUCAUAGUCUGCACGAGAAACUGCCGGGCUUGAGUGUGGGAGAGGUGAGUGGAAUUUCCGGUGUAGCGGUGAAAUGCGUAGAUAUCGGAAGGAACACCUGUGGCGAAAGCGGCUCACUGGACCACAACUGACGCUGAUGCACGAAAGCUAGGGGAGCAAACAGGAUUAGAUACCCUAGUAGUCC